UACGUAGGGGGCAAGCGUUGUCCGGAUUUAUUGGGCGUAAAGAGCGUGUAGGCGGCCAGGUAGGUCCGCUGUGAAAACUCGAGGCUCAACCUCGAGCUGUCGGUGGAAACCAUCUGGCUAGAGUCCGGAAGAGGAGAGUGGAAUUCCCGGUGUAGCGGUGAAAUGCGCAGAUAUCGGGAAGAACACCCGUGGCGAAGGCGGCUCUCUGGGACGGUACUGACGCUGAGACGCGAAAGCGUGGGGAGCGAACAGG
rnacentral:rRNA from 1 species